rnacentral:lncRNA from 1 species
AACCAGGUUCAAGUCAACCCACAGCAGCAGCUUCCACCUACUGGGCAGUCUCAUACCCAAAUUCCAUCACAAAUACUUCCAGCUUCUCAUGCUCAGCCACCUACUCAGCCUCCGCCAUAUCCUCAGCCCUAUCCGAUGCAACCUCAUUCACAACAGCAUGUGCAGGUGCCACAGUAUCAGCAGCAUCCUGCCCAGGUUCACCCUCCCCAGUCUUCUCAAGCCCAACCGCAGCCGUUUGUGCAUCAACCUCAUUCACAACUUCAACCGCAGAUAAAUGUUCAACAUCAUCAACAAUCUCAUGGCCAAUUGCGCCCCCCUCAGGCUGGCCAACCUGCUCAUGGACAGACUCAGACCCUCCAUUCAACAGCCAAUGCAGUUUCAGGGUACAAUUCCUAUCCGCAACCCCAGCCCAUGCAGCAAAUGCCUAUAGGGUUUACACAGCAAACUCCAAUACGUCCACAUCCUACUAGUGGGCCUAUUCCUCCCGUUCAAACUCAUAGUCAGGUUCCUCAACAACCUCCUUUGCGCACCAAUCAGCAAUGG